rnacentral:rRNA from 1 species
GACGAACGCUGGCGGCGUGCUUAACACAUGCAAGUCGAGCGGUAAGGCCCUUUCGGGGGUACGACGAGCGGCGAACGGGUAGGAGUAACACGUGGGUGGACCUCGCCCUCCAGCUCUGGGAGUAAGCCCGGGAAACCGUAGGGUCUAAUACUGGAUAUGACUCCAUGACGCAUGUUGUGGGGUGGAAAGCCUUGUGCGGCUGAGGAUGGGCCCG